rnacentral:SRP_RNA from 1 species
CUGUACUAGAUGGGGAGGUAGCGGUGCCCUGUAACCUGCAAUCCGCUAUAGCAGGGUUGAAUUCCAGCUUAGAGGCUUAUAAUUUGCAGAGCAGCCCUAAAUAAGUGGUGUUGACACUUAGGUCCUGCGCAACGAAAGCUCAUGAACUCCGUCAGAUCAGGAAUGAAGCAGCGGUAAGUGAUCACUUUCGUGUGCCGCGGGGGCGCCUAAGUCGAGCUAACUGUUUAGGUAACGUCUGUGAAUGUAAGUCGAUAGUUGGUGUACAG